rnacentral:rRNA from 1 species
ACCUCUAGCAUUUCCAGUAUUAGAGGCACUGCCUGCCCAGUGACAUUAGUUAAACGGCCGCGGUAUCCUGACCGUGCAAAGGUAGCAUAAUCACUUGUUCUCUAAAUAGGGACUUGUAUGAACGGCCACACGAGGGUUUUACUGUCUCUUACUUCCAAUCCGUGAAAUUGACCUUUCCGUGAAGAGGCGGAAAUACACUAAUAAGACGAGAAGACCCUAUGGAGCUUUAAUUAACUGACUCAAGGAGAUUCAUCUAACCAACCAACAGGAACAAACAAACCUCCUCAUGAGUCAACAAUUUAGGUUGGGGUGACCUCGGAGAACAAAACAACCUCCGAGUGAUUAUAAAUCUAGACAAACCAGUCAAAAGUAUAACAUCACUUAUUGAUCCAAAAAUUUUGAUCAACGGAACAAGUUACCCUAGGGAUAACAGCGCAAUCCUAUUUUAGAGUCCAUAUCGACAAUAGGGUUUACGACCUCGAUGUUGGAUCAGGACAUCCCGAUGGUGCAGCAGCUAUCAAA